rnacentral:snoRNA from 1 species
GUCUCUGAGGAUGAUUUCUUUCUUCUGAUAUCUUCAUGUGGAAAAAAAUUGGAGACCUGAACUGAGAAGGU